AACGAACGUUGGCGGCGUGGAUUAGGCAUGCAAGUCGAAUGAAUCCCAUCUGGGUAACUGGGUGGGGGAAAUGGCGAAAGGGGCAGUAAGGCAUGGGCAACCUACCCCGGGGACGGGGAUAGCUCUUCUAACGAGGAGGUAAUACCUGGCGAUUCGGCGAGGAGGCAUCUCUUUGCCGGGAAAUGAGUUUCGCCUCGGGAGGGGCUCAUGUAGUAUUAGCUUGUUGGUGAGGUAACGGCUCACCAAGGCAAAGAUGCUUAGCGGGUGUGAGAGCACGACCCGCGCCACUGGCACUGAGACACUGGCCAGACUCCUACGGGAGGCUGCAGUCGAGGAUCUUCGGCAAUGGGCGCAAGCCUGACCGAGCGACGCCGCGUGUGCGAAGAAGGCC
rnacentral:rRNA from 1 species